rnacentral:tRNA from 1 species
GCGGGUAUGGUUUAGUGGUAGAAUGCGACCUUCCCAAGGUUGAGACGCGGGUUCGAUUCCCGCUACCCGCA